rnacentral:rRNA from 1 species
UCCUACGGGAGGCAGCAGUAGGGAAUCUUCCGCAAUGGACGAAAGUCUGACGGAGCAACGCCGCGUGAGUGAUGAAGGCUUUCGGGUCGUAAAACUCUGUUGUUAGGGAAGAACAAGUGCUAGUUGAAUAAGCUGGCACCUUGACGGUACCUAACCAGAAAGCCACGGCUAACUACGUGCCAGCAGCCGCGGUAAUACGUAGGUGGCAAGCGUUAUCCGGAAUUAUUGGGCGUAAAGCGCGCGCAGGUGGUUUCUUAAGUCUGAUGUGAAAGCCCACGGCUCAACCGUGGAGGGUCAUUGGAAACUGGGAGACUUGAGUGCAGAAGAGGAAAGUGGAAUUCCAUGUGUAGCGGUGAAAUGCGUAGAGAUAUGGAGGAACACCAGUGGCGAAGGCGACUUUCUGGUCUGUAACUGACACUGAGGCGCGAAAGCGUGGGGAGCAAACAGGAUUAGAUACCCUGGUAGUCCACGCCGUAAACGAUGAGUGCUAAGUGUUAGAGGGUUUCCGCCCUUUAGUGCUGGAGUUAACGCAUUAAGCACUCCGCCUGGGGAGUACGGCCGCAAGGCUGAAACUCAAAGGAAUUGACGGA